UACGGGGGGGGCAAGCGUUGUUCGGAAUUACUGGGCGUAAAGGGCUCGUAGGCGGCCAACUAAGUCAGACGUGAAAUCCCCCGGCUUAACCAGGGAACUGCGUCUGAUACUGGAUGGCUUGAGUUUGGGAGAGGGAUGCGGAAUUCCAGGUGUAGCGGUGAAAUGCGUAGAUAUCUGGAGGAACACCGGUGGCGAAGGCGGCGUCCUGGACCAACACUGACACUGAGGAGCGAAAGCCAGGGGAGCAAACGGG
rnacentral:rRNA from 1 species